UAGGAAGCACAAGAAAGUGGGUAUGAAAGCUAUGAGACGAUGGCCAAUACAGAUAUUGACAGGGCUGGAAUAUCAUUAGAGUCCGGCGCCAACGAAUAUACAUAGCGACUUAAAGUGUGACAAUAUAUUCAUAAAUAGUCCUGAUGGAACAGUGAAGAUCGGCGACUAUAUGGUCUGGCGACAUUAUUGCAUCAAUGGAAAAAGCAAAGUGUCAAAGGCGCAUUAGACUUUAUGGCACUAGAACGCUUCACUGGCAAUACAAUGAGUUGCUUGGGUAUUCCAAUCCCCUUCGCAGCCUCUUCUGUCAAUCCAGCAGCACACCGCUGCCCUUCGCAUCCUCCCUGCAUCACUGCAACUGGGCCGUGCUCACAUCGUCUGCGGUCACAUGCGCAAUCUCUGCGCUCGACGCUGCCUCCACCGAGAUUCAUUGCAAGGGUGCCUGAAACGCCCACUGUUGGGUACAUGCAUACAACAAUUAUGCCAUGUCUUCCCUAUUCGAUCGGUCGCACAUGUAUGUUUCUUUUCCUUCUUUGUUUAGUUUUAAAGAAAAGAUUAAUUUCUGAACUCACCAUAUUUUUAUACUAUAUAUAAGCAUGGAUGACUAGAAUAGUUGAUUGUCAGUUCACUUAUAUUUCUCCUAUGGAAAGGAGCAUCAGUUUUACGCAUGCUUCCCGGGUCCUUGGUGAGAGGCCUCUGUGAUGUUAUUCUUUUAGGUAAGCUUUACUCAGGUUGCUACUCAUGUCACAGUGUCUGUAAUUUAGCUAGAGUCAGGUUCAGAGUUAUUGACUGAAUUUUUGGGGCACAACCAUCAAGCAACCUGAGUAAAGCUUACCUAAGCCAAUGAUUUUGUUCUUUUAGCUAGAGCCAGGUUCAGAGUUGUUCACUCUGGAUUUUUUGGGCACAACCAUCAAGCAAGCUAGCACGUAUUGUUUAACUGAAGCAAAGGGCAGCUAAGCUAUGAAUGCUUCAUUCUUUGUUCUACA